ACGAACUUACGAUACAUGUUAAUACACUUUUAUGAAGGGCAUGAGCUUCAAAGAUUGGCUCGCACAUCUGUUACCUCAGCUUCCUGAAACUGGCCAACAAUGGCUCUUCUCAGUGGCAUGGGCCAUCUGGAAAAGAAGGAAUACGUGGCUCUUCGACCAAAAGCGUGUGGCACCUGACCAAGUUCUUCUCCAAGCUUCCAGAAUGCUGACCCCAGAACCAUAACAAAACCAAAGUCGGUUGAAUCAUGCGCCCCCGAUCCCUCCUCGUUGGAAGCCUCCAGAAAUAGGAAUGAUCAAAGGUAACUUUGAUGCCUCCAUUCGCGAAAACAAGGGGAAAGGUCUGGGUGUGUCUUUCA
rnacentral:lncRNA from 1 species